UAUAAUUUCACUAAAUUGACCACAACUUACAUUUCAUACACUGUUGAGCAAAAUGAAUUGAGAGUCUCAAACAACCCCUCUUUCAACAAAUUAAAAAAAAAAACUAAUUCUACCUAACUUGUUCGACCUCUUUCAAAAUGUCAAUUUAACACAUAUCGAAAAUAAUAUGUGUGACAAUAUUUUUGAAGAGUCAGAACGUAUAGUAACAGUAGUAAUAAUCAAGAAUACAAAACUAAAUGUUUUGAACAUAAAGUACAUAAAUACUUCCUUUUAAACCUAAAACAAAUAGGAAGAAAACAAAGACGAAAACGCCCUUCAACAUCAAUAGCUUGAACUUUUCCACCACAAGAAGGACAUGCGCCUGGUGCUAAUUUUCUUCCAAGCUCUUUUUCAUCUUCAUCACAAACACAUGAAAAACAAAACAUCUUUUAUUUGUAUUUUAAAAAAAAAUAUAAUUCAAACUUUUUUUUCUAUUUCUUAUAAAAAUAUCAAAGAAAAUGUUUAUUUUUUUUCCUUGAGGAAUUUUGAGGACAAAAAAAGAAAGAGAGAGGAGAGAGAGA
rnacentral:misc_RNA from 1 species